GCAAGAUAAAGCCUGUUGAUUUUUCAAUUCUUGUAGUUUUCCUAAGCUUGCAGGCCUUCAGAUUUAGAGUGGAACUAUACCAUCAUCUCUCCUGUGUCUCCAGCUUUCCAUGUGACCAUAGAACCUCUCAGACUCCAUAAUCAUAGAAAACUCCAAGUAUUUUUUGCAAGGAAAAGUUGAUGAUACUGAUGAUGAUGGUGAUGGUGAUGGUGGUACUGAUUAGAGUGCUGAUGGUAGUAGUCCUGUAACUUGAACAAGGUUACAGGACAAGUAGAAUAUGGCAGAGAUGGAAUUUGAACUCAAGCAAUCAAAUUCAAAAGACUAUACUCUAAAGCAAUGGCACUCAGGGAGUGAUCCAUCAGUGCCUGUGCACAACAAGGUCCACAACCUGGCAUUUAGUGGUAGGCCUGGAGCUGCUCUUGGUCAACAGUGUCAGAAGUUGGGAAGAAGAGCUGCAUAUCAAGCAGAAGAGAAUGAGAAGAAACAGGAACCCACUUCUGCAUCUGUCUAUAGCAACAUCUGACUAUAACGACCUUCAAAAGAUAAUGGCUGUUGCUUCAUUUCCAACCCUCCAAAUCUCAAGUAGCCUUGUGAUUACAUUGGGCUUACCCAGAUCCAGGUCAUCUAGGAUAAUCUCUCUACCCAAGAUCUUUAACGUAAUCACACCUGCAAAGUCCCUUUUGCGAAGAAAGGUUGUAGAGAAGGUACUGUUCCCAUUGAAAUCAGUAACGGCCAUGUGACCUGAUUUGACUCAUGAAAUUGUGGACUUUUUCAUAGUCUCAAUGGGAUGUUUAUCUAAAAUGCAUACAUUCCUAAAUGAAGAGUGCCCUUGUCUUCACUGUAUAUUGUGUUAUUGUUAGAACUUUCAAACAUGCUAAAGAAGCUGAUAAGUCUAAGUUCACAUCAACAAUUACAUUAUUCAACGACCUGAGAGAAGUGAAGCCAGGUUGAGUGUAGUCCCAGUAGAGAGAUGUUUUCUGUGUUCUCUUUCUUUUGUGUUUAGUAAAGGUACUUCACCAGAGGUCAAUUUUCUGUACCAAUUUCUGUUUGGCUGGAGCAGAUUCCAGCUGUGUCUGUGCUUGGUCUCCCACCUGAUGCCACCACAUCAAAGGGAAGCCCAUAUUACACUGGAAACAAGGCCCUGCUUCCCUGCUGAGUUUUGUGUUUUGUGACGUUCCCAAGCAAAAUUCGAAAUCUUCCUGUUUCAAUUUUUGUAAUGUUUAUCAUUAAAAUAAUACUCUCACAUGUGAAUAAAUCAAAUACUAAGAUUAGCCUAUCCUAAUUUCUAUACCUCCUACCCCCAUACGUGUUUAAACCUGUAGUCCCACUCUCCAGGAGAAACCUCUUUUUUUUUAAUUGGUAAUAUAGGUGUUAAUUUUUGAUAUUUUAAAUAUCUCAAAUAAAGAAAAAGAAAGAAAUAAAGU
rnacentral:lncRNA from 1 species